CUCAUUCUAAAACCAGAAGUCACUUUGAUGGUCUACACAGACAUCAUAUAGUGUGUGGAACUUAGCUCUGGGUUUAUAUACUGAGCUGGCCAGUGCUUAAGGGAAACAGAAAAUAAGAUUUUCCUUUGACCAUCGUAAGCGCUAUCCUGUAUUCCUCUUUACAGGAAAAUGUUCUCCAGAACUUGUUUUAUCUUCCCCAGAGACAUCCAAAAAUGUCUCCAGGCCAAGGAUCUUGUUUUUCUUCAUUUGGAUCUUCACUCAUAUACCAUGGAACACUGUGGAAUCAGGAGCUGCCGGUUUACUACCAGAUGUUUGACAAGCCAGGUGCAUCAAAUCUCCCUGUGUAACUGAUGAAAAUCCAUUGAUUUGAGGCUUCUCAGAAACACCUGAAAGUUAAGCAGAUAAGAUGGACAACGAUCUGCAGAGAGGGAGAGAGAGAUGUCCAACUCUGAAGGUGCGAACAGGUCUACAUGGUUCAGGAAAUCCAAGCUAUCUGACCCCCAACGCAGAGCCCAGGUCCCUAAACUGCUUCUUCCCGCCAAACUGGACCUGAAGCAGGUUGGAGCUGAAAGCGCCCACCGACCCUAGUCCUCCCUGGGAGCUCAAGAGAGUGGCCGAGAUUUGGGCUCAUCUGCGUUCUCAGUAAGUGUCGACGAACGGACGGCGGUCGGCCCAAGGGUCCCCCGGCGGCCCACGAGGCUCCAGGGGCGGAGCUCUACCCCGCCCCCCGCGCGCGGCCUAAUCUGCCCCCCGCAGGCCCCGG